rnacentral:rRNA from 2 species
UUCGGUGGUUAUGGCGGAGGGGAAACACCCGUUCCCAUUCCGAACACGGAAGUUAAGCCCUCCAGCGCCGAUGGUACUGCCGCGGUAACGCGGUGGGAGAGUAGGUCGUCGCCGAGC